GUGUUAAAAAAUAGAGAAAAUAUACAUUUGAUAACAAAGUUAUCCAAUGUUAGGGACUGAAUGUGUCUCCCCUUAAGCCAUAUGUUAAAAUUUAAACCCCAAUGUGAUGGUAUUUAAAGAUGGGGCUUUGGAGAGGUAAUUAUUAAUCGAUCAUGAGAGGGAGCCCUUGAGAACAGGAUUAGUGCUCUCAUAAAGCAGAAGCCAGAGAGCUUGCUUGCUUUCCUUCCACGCUGUAAGGACACAAUGAGAAGCUGGCAGUCUUCAACCUGAACCAACCAUGCUGGCACCCUGAUCUUUAACUUCUAGCUUCCAGAACUGUGAGAAAUACAUUUCUGUUGUUUAUAAGCCAUCUAGUCUAUGGUAAUUUGUUACAGCAACUCAAAGUGACUAAGAUGCUCAAGAAGAAAUAAAGGAUACACAAGAAACUGAUAACAUUAGUUAACUGCACUGAGAAGAAUUAUGCAGCUGAGGGGCAGAGCCAGGAACCCUAAGACAGUGAAGGAAAAUCUCUUCCUCCCCUAGAGCUUCUGGUACCCAAUGAAGGGCCACAUCAGCUGGGGACACCUUGCUCAGUCCAGAAGCUGCUGUUCAAAGAUCCUGGACUUCCCAUCUGACAAAAGCCAGCAGAAGGUAAAAAUUCUUACAUCAGUGUUGAGUCUCUGCCUUCAGGGCCUGGUGGAGCAAAAGUGGUAAGAAUCUUUUUCUUUCCAAAUCCAGAUUAGCAGUAAACAACACUUUUAAAAGUUAGUUCUUUUAUAUUGUGACUCUAGUUAAAAAUUUGGUUAAGUUGGGUUACCCAUUAGUUAUUGAUCCUUUCCCUCCCAAGGACAGCUAUUGCUUUCCAGUUGUCUCAUCUUGUGUCUCGAUUGCUUGGCUUGACUUUCCACUUGUUGGGGCACGUAGGUUAUGGGGUCUGCAUAUACAGGUGCCCAAAUGAAAGGUUGUAGGGACCCAAAUACAUAGCAAGAUAAAAAUAUGAGUUCACAAUUCUAAUAUACCAACUGUUGCCAGCUCUCCAGGCGCAAGUUACCUGUAUUUCUUUUGGCUCUUAGGAGUGGUUUUGGAUCUUGAGAGGGCUGCAUCUUUUUGCACCCUCUUUUGAGGACACCUUUCGCAUCCAUGGCUAAGUCAUAAAAGGUUGAUUCAUUCUGGUGUUGAGUCACUUGAUAGAUACCUUUGGUCUAAGAGAGAGAAAGAGAGGAGUUCCAUGCUGCCAGGAAUGUUUAUUAUUUUUUUCUGGCUGAUACCUGAUAACAUUAGUUUUAACUGUCAGAAGUUGGUCAAAUUGAAGGCUGACAUUAAGAGCCUGAGGACCAUUUUUAAGGCCUUCUAAGCUAAGAUAGAACUAUAUAUUCAGAGAGGAAAAAAAGUCUGAAGAUUUUGUGGAAGAAUUUAUUAAAACAAAGACACACCGCUCUAAAUCUAGAACAUAAGACUCUUUUGAUUUCUUAGUUGGUAAUCUGCUCCCUGAUAUAAAGGAAGAAAUGGAAGAUAAUGCAGAGGAUAAAUGAGUCAGCCCCUUAAUAUCAUUUAGGCUAUGACCCAGUGCUUGGAGGAAUUAAGUCACUAUCCUGACCUAAUAAAUUGAGUCUUUACAAAAACAGAAAUGGAACUGCAGAGGCAAUUUAAAGUCCACCAAUCCUCUUUAACAAUACCCAAACCUCACCUAUUUAUCUCAAGAUGCUUGCAGAUAUUGUAAAAGGUCAGAUCAUGGAAAAUGGACCUGUCCUACACUUAAGAAAAAGAGGGAAAUUUUUCUAAAGAGUAAUUAUACUAGAGCUCUGAUUAUCGGAAAAUAUGACCCAAAACUCCCUCUUGGAAAAAAUUCUUACUCCAUGCCUUUGAAAUGUAAAUAAUCUUCCCCUGGACUUGAGGCUGGGGGAAAGGAGUUAUUUGGAAGCAAAUUGGGCAGAUGAAAAAUCUUAAAAGUCUUUUCUACAAAUAGUAAAGUUUUAGUCAUCUAGGCAGGUAACUUUAACUUGUUCCAUCAACCAGAAACACAAUUUGGAUCUAGCUAUUCUUUUAUAAACGAGUGAGUUCUGUAUUAUUGUACCUGACACAUGACUAAAACUUUAAAAUGAAAGCUACAUGGCUUGUUCUGCAUUUUUCUGCAUGAUUAUGUAUGUCCCUAUGUAUGUAUGUUAAAUAUAUGGGAUGUUUCUCUUCCUCUGGAUGGUAUUACCAAAUUAAUUUAUAAAAUUUCUUGAAGUUAUAUUCAGACUGGCUAAAAGAUAAAUGAGUCAAAAAAAUUAAAACUGAUUCUUUGGAUUUCUAUUUUUUUAUAAAGGCUCUUGUGUCAUAUAAAACUUAAUUUAAAUCACUGGACAUGGUGGCUUGCACCUGUAUUCCUAACUACUCAGAAGGCUGAGGUGGGAGGAUCACUUGAGCCCUGUAGUUCAGGGCUGCCCUGAGCCGCAAUUGUGCCACUGCACUCCACACUCCAGCUUGAGCCACAGAGCAUACUCUUCUGCUAUUAAUCUGUCUGUCAAUUUUCUGUUCAGAUCCAGCCAAGAACCCUAAAAGAGUUGAGGAAAAUCUUUUCAUCCCCUACAGUAUUCAUGACUAUUUUCAGAACAUUUUAUCAUUAAAAAUUUUGCAAAUAUUUCCACAUAAACCAAUGCCAGGGAAAAAACAAAGCCCCUAAACAAAUUGGAUAAUUGACGUAUUAUCUGAAUUAUAAAUAAAAUCUUACAUUUAUGAAAUGUUUUAUAUUAUUUUCACAUAACACUACUAAUAACGCAUUUAUUGGGUGUUGAUAUGCACAAAGCCCUCUACUAAACACUAUAUGUACUACUUCACUUAAUUCUUAAAACAACCUUUCUAGAUAGGCUCUAUUAUUAACCUGAUUUUAAGCAUGAGAAAACCAAGGCUAAGAGUAUUACAAAUAUAUUAGGUAUUAGAGAUACAUUUCAAACUCACAUGCAUGCAGUGAGCCACUGUAGUAUAACAUAUUCAUUAUUUAAGUUGACCAUUCCUACAUUCUUACAAAACAACUAGAAAAGCAAUUCUUCCUUCUUCUUGACAGACGUCCAAACUAUAGAAAGAGAAGAAAUUACUUAUAAAAGGUCAUUAAGCUUGUAUCAUAACCUCUCCCUUAGCCACAGUUUCACUUUAAGUGGUUUCAGUUACCUAUAGCCAACCUCUUUCCAAAACUAUUAAAUGGAAACUUCCAGAAAUAAACAGUUCGUAAGUUUUAAACCAUAUGCUGUUUUUGUUUUUGUUUGGUUGGUUUUUUGUUUUUCAUUUUUUUUAGACGGAGUCUCGCUCUGUCACCCAGGGUGUAGUGCAGUGGCGUGAUCUUGGCUCACUGCAACCUCUGCCUCCUGAGAUUAAGCAAUUCUCCUACCUCAGUUUCCUGAGUAGCUGGGAUUACAGGCAUGCGCCACCACGCCUGGCUAAUUUUGUAUUUUUUAAUAGAGAUGGGGUUUCACCAUGUUGGUCAGGCUGGUCUAGAACUCCUUGACCUCGUGAUCUGCCUGCCUCGGCCUCCCAAAGUGCUGGAAUUACAGGCAUGAGCCACCAAUGCCCGGCCCUGCCGUGUGCUGUUUUGAGUAGCAUGAUGAAAUCUCACAACAUCCACUCCAGCCUGCCUUUGCCCAUCUUUGCUGUGCAAAGAUUAUUCCCUUUGUUUAGCAUAUCCAUCUGUUAUACAUGACCUGCCUACUAAUCAACAACAUCCAUCAUCUACUCCUAAUAUCCAGCCAUCAACAUCAUCAUGGCUUGAUGAUCCAAGCAUCACUCGAAGUAGAUAAUCCUCCUUCUGACAUAGGAAGGUCAAUAGUAGCUUUAUGCUACAUUGCAAUGUCUGUAUCAUUCACCUCACUUCACCUCAUAACACAGGCAUUUUAUCAUCUCACAUCAUGACAAGAAGGGUAUUUUCAGAGUGGGAAAAUAUCUCAUAAUUUUUAUUACAGUAUGUUGUUAUAAUUGUUCUAUUUUAUUAUUAUUGUUAAUCUCUUACUGUGCAUAAUUUAUAAAUUAAGCUUUAUCAUAGGUAUGUAUGUAUAGGAAAAAGCUUAGUGUACAUAGGGUUUGCUACUAUCUGCAGUUUCAGGCAUCCACUGGGUGUCUUGGGACAUACUCCCUGCAGAUAAGGGAAAACUACAUUAUUGCUGACUUUUAACCAUCCCAUAUAUUUUAUGCAUAGUUUAAAUGUCCUUGAAUUAUGACUAUCAAUUGAUAUAUUGAGAUACUCAACUUCAUAGGUAACCAAAAAAGCCAAAUUAAAAUAGUUAUCAUUGCCUUUCAAAUUAACAGUAAUUUUUAAAUAAUAAUAUUCAAUUGUUGAGGUAGUUUGGUGAAAUUGGCAGACCCAUAUACUGCCAGCUGAAAGUAGAAUGAUACAAGCUUCCUUAGAAGGUUUUUGUAAUAUGCGAUAAGAGCUUUAUAAUGUUAACUUUCUUAGACCAGUAAAUCCAUUUCUAGGAAUCUCUCCUACUGAAAUCAUCUGAGAUACAGACCAAGAUUUAUUGAUAAAAUUGUUCAAAUCAACAUGAGUUUGAAAUAACAAAAGUCUGAAAUAUACUAAAUACUCAACAUCAGGAAAGUAGAUACAUUAUAAAAGAUACUAGGGAAUAUUAUGCAGCCAUUAAAAAUAAUAUUUUUAAAGAAAGUUUAAUCAUAUUUGUGAUUCAAAACUGCAUAAAUAAUUCCUGUAAUACUUAAAAUAUGUUUAUCUCUGUAUAUAUAUUAUUGAUAUGGUUUGGAUUUGUGUCCCCACUCAAAUCUCAUGUCAAAUUGCAAUCACCAGUGUUGGAGGAGGGGUGUGGUGGGAGGUAACUGGAUCAUGAGGACAGAUUUCCCUCUUGCUCUUCUCACAAUAGUGAGUUCUCAUGAGAUCUGGUUGUUUAAAAGUGUGUAACACCUCCCCCUUCACUCUCUUCCUCCUAUUCUAGCCAUGUAAGAUGUGCCUGCUUCCCUUCCACUAUGAUUGAAAGUUCCCUGAGGCCUCCUCAGCCAUGCUUCCUGAUCAGCCUAUGGAAUCAUGAGCCAAUUAAACGUCUUUUCUUUAUAAAUUACCCAGCUUCAGGUAUUUCUUUUUAGCAGUAUGAGAGCAGACUAAUACAAAAAAUUGGUACCAGGAGUAGGGCAUUGCUAUAAAGAUACCUGAAAAUGUGGAAACAGCUUUGGAACUGGGUAAUAGGCAAAGGUUGGAACAGUUUGGAGGGCUCAGAAGAAGAAAGGAAGAUGAGGGAAAGUUUGGAACCUCCUAGGUACUUGUUAAAUUGUUGUGACCAAAUGCUGAUAUUGAUACUGACAAAGUUCAGGCUGAGGAGGUUUCAGAUGGAGAUGAGGAACUUAUUGGGAACUGGAACAAAGGUCACUUUUGUUAUGAGUUCACAAAGAGGUUGGAGGCAUUGUGCCCCUGCCCUAGGGAUCUGUGGAACUUUGAACUUGGGAGUAAUGAUUUAGGGUAUCUGGCAGAAGAAAUUUCUAAGCAGCAAAGGAUUCCAGACAUAGCCUGGCUGCUUCUAGCAGCCUAUUCUCAUAUUCGUGAAUAAGAAAUGAUUGAAAACUGGAACUUAUAUUCAAAGGGGAAGCAGAGUGUAAAAGUUUGAAAAAUUUGCAUCCUGACCAUGUGGUAGAAAAGGAAAAACCAUUUUCAGGGGAGGAACUCAAGCUGGCUAUAGACAAUUGCAUAAGUAAAGAGGAGACAAAUAUUAAUAGCCAAGACAAUGAGUAAAAUGCCUCAAAGGCAUUUCAGAGACCUCAUGGCAGCCCCUCCCAUCUCAGACCCAGAGGCCCAGGAGGAAAGAAUGGUUUCAUGGGCCAGGCCCAGGGCCUCAUUUCCCUGCGCACCCUCAGGACACAGAUCCUUGACUCCCAGCCACUCCAGCUCCAGCUGUGGCUGUAGCUAAAACGGCCCCAGAUAUAUCUCAGGCAGUUGCUCUAGACAGUAUAAGCCAUAAGCCCUGGCAGCUUCCAUUUGCUGUUAAGCCUGUGAGUAUGCAGAGGGCAAGAGUUGAGGCUUGGGAGCCUCUGCCUAGAUUUUAGAGGAGGUAUGGUAUGGAAAUGUCUGGAUGUCCAGACAGAAGUCUACUGAAGGAGUGGAGCCCUCAUGGAGAACCUCUACUAGGGCAGUGCGGAGGGGAAAUGCCUUGGGACCCCACCCCUUGUAUCAGCGUGGCCUAGAUGUGAGACAUGAAGUCAAAGGAGAUUAUUUUGGAGCUUUAAGAUGUAAUGACUCUCCUGCUAGGAUUCAGACUUGCACAGGGCCUGUAGUCCCUCUCUUUAGGAUGAUUUAUCCCUUUUGGAAUGGGUGUGUUUACCAAAUGCCUGUACCGUCAUUGUAUCUUGGAAGUAACUAACUUGUUUUUUAUUUUACUGGCUCACAGGGAGAACGGACUUGCCUUGUCUUAGAUGAGACUUUGGAAAGUGGACUUCAGAGUUAAUGCUGAAAUGUGUCAAGACUUGGGCGACUGUUAAGGAGGGAUGAUUGUAUUUUGCAAUGUGAGAAGGACAUGAGAUUUGGGAGGUGCCAGAGGUGGAAUGAUAUGGUUUAGAUUUGUGUUCCCACCCAAAUCUCAUGUCAAAUUGUAAUCCUCAGUGUGGGAGGAGGAGCCUGGUAGGAGGUGAUUGGAUCAUGAGAUGCAUUUCCCUCCUGCUGUUCCUGUGAUAGUGAGUUCUCAUGAGAUUUGAUUAUUUAAGUGUGUAGCACCUCCCUCUGUGCUCCCUUCCUCCUGCUCUGGCUGGGCAAAAUGUGCCUGCUUCCUUUCUACCAUGAUUGAAAGUUUCCUGAGGCCUCCUCAGCUAUGCUUCAUGUACGGCCUGUGGAACCAUGAGCCAAUUAAACAUCUUUCUUUAUAAAUUACCCAGUUUCAAGCAUUUACUUAUAGCAGUGCAAGAAUGGACUAAUACAAUAAUAAAUGUAAAUAUGCCCAGAAGAAAAAUGAAAAGGUGUUAGCAAUGUAUCUCAAUAUGCUUACAGGCCAAUAUUUUUUUCAUGUCUUAAAAAAGGUGAGUUUGUCCCUCCAUACACAGGGUCUAACAAUCUCCAUCCUUUCGUCCUUCCUUUCUUCCAGGGGGAGGGAGGAGGAGUACACCUCUUUCAUACAGCCUCAGCCCCUCUCCUUCUUGCCAUCCUACA
rnacentral:lncRNA from 1 species